GUGCUCUUCUGCCUGGGAAUCUCCUCCUGUUUACUCUGCACAAAGAGCUGCCGUGCUGAGGCACUGGCAAAACUGCUGUGCCGGCCACAAGAGUCACGCUGGUGACCCGUGGGGCCCCUCCACUGGGAAUCUUCUGGUCCGUGAGUGACAAAAAUUCAUCUGAAAGUGUGGCAUCCUCUCAUUCUCUGCGCUUUCACUGGGAGCUACAAUCCUGAACUGUUAGCGAUCGGCCAUCUUGGAUCUCAUCUCUCUGGUGUAAGUUUCAAUCUAAACGCAGGAGAAGACCAAUGUGUCAACUCAAAAACUGUCAGGAAGAAAGAAGAAAUUGUUUUUUUCAGACAGAGUCUCAUUCUGUCACCCAUGCUAGAGUGCCGUGGUGUGACCUUGGCUCACUGCAACCUCCACCUCCCAGGUUCAAGUGAUUCUCCUGCUUCAGCCUCUAAAGUAGCUGGGACUACAAACAGACAAGGUCUCAUUCUAUUACUGACUGGAGUGUAGCAAUGUUGGGGUCCGGCACAUCUGCGGGGGGGCUACUGACAUGUGGGAGUCCCUGAGACCGCCAACGUAGAUGUCUCAUUCAACCUGAAGGAGAGAGCGUGCAGAAGUGAAAGAAGAAAGGAAAGUGGAGUCUGGAGGUCUGAAUGACUUGUAGUCAAGCAGCAACUUUAUUUUUGUAGGUGACAGCUUUUAUACCUUUUUUCUUGUUACAUUUAUUUUAGCUCAGCAGAAAAGGGGGCAAACAGAAAAGGGAACAGAAAUCACGUAAAAAUAGUUAUCAGGGGCUUGUGAUAACAGCUCACAAAGCAGUUUUAAGGGGGCUUGUGAUAAUAGCUUACAAAGCAGUUUAAGAGUUAAUAUAUGUUUUUCAAAGAUACACAGUGCAAGCAAACAAUGGUGCCCUUAAGGUGGCUUGUUAAUCAUGUUUCCCAUCAGGAGGUAGAACAGAGGCUUAGCUCCUGAGAAAAUAUGGGCAGGGGUCUUUGCCCCUCUCAGGCAUCUCAACUGUGGCAAGCCUAUUGCUUACAGAGAGACUAAAGGGGAUAUGAAGCAGUCAGCACAAUGUUCUCAUAAACUGCAGGCCCUUACUCUGCAUUCUGUUUAGCCCUUGGCGUGAACACUGCAUCGCAGCGUGAUCAGAGCUCACUGCAGCCUCAACCUCCUGGACUCAAGGGACCCUCUUGCCUCAACCUCCUGAAUUGCUGGGACAAUAGGCAUGUGCCACCAUGAAAAAAUUUUUUAUUUUUCUUAGAAGUGGAACCUAGGUUGCUGAGGCUAGUCUUACCUAAAGAAAGGUCUGGUUU
rnacentral:lncRNA from 13 species